GACGAACGCUGGCGGCGUGCUUAACACCUGCAAGUCGAACGGAAAGGCCCCUUUGGGGGUACUCGAGUGGCGAACGGGUGAGUAACACGUGAGUAACCUGCCCUUGACUUCGGGAUAACUUCAGGAAACUGGGGCUAAUACCGGAUAGGAAUCCUUGCUGCAUGGUGGGGGUUGGAAAGCUUCGGCGGUUUUGGAUGGACUCGCGGCUUAUCAGCUUGUUGGUGGGGUAGUGGCUUACCAAGGCUUUGACGGGUAGCCGGCCUGAGAGGGCGACCGGCCACAUUGGGACUGAGAUACGGCCCAGACUCCUACGGGAGGCAGCAGUGGGGAAUAUUGCACAAUGGGCGGAAGCCUGAUGCAGCAACGCCGCGUGCGGGAUGACGGCCUUCGGGUUGUAAACCGCUUUCAGCAGGGGCGAAGCUUGUGGUGACGGUACCUGCAGAAGAAGCACCGGCUAACUACGUG
rnacentral:rRNA from 1 species